GUGUUAGUGGAAGCGUCUGGAAAGGCGCGCGAUACAGGGUGACAGCCCCGUACACAAAAGCGCAUAUGCUGUGAGCUCGAUGAGUAGGGCGGGACACGUGGUAUCCUGUCUGAAUAUGGGGGGACCAUCCUCCAAGGCUAAAUACUCCUGACUGACCGAUAGUGAACCAGUACCGUGAGGGAAAGGCGAAAAGAACCCCGGCGAGGGGAGUGAAACAGAACCUGAAACCGUGUACGUACAAGCAGUGGGAGCACAGGUUUACCUGUGUGACUGCGUACCUUUUGUAUAAUGGGUCAGCGACUUAU
rnacentral:rRNA from 1 species